rnacentral:rRNA from 1 species
ACGAACGCUGGCGGCGUGCUUAACACGUGCAAGUCGAACGGGCCCGCCCCUGUUUUUGGGGGUGGGUUGAGUGGCGAACGGGUGAGUAUCACGUGAGUAACCUGCCCCCUGCUCCUGGAUAACUGCUUGAAAGGGCGGCUAAUACGGGGUGUGCCGGCUGGUCCGCAUGGGCCUGGUCGGGAUUGUUUCAUCUUCGGGUGUUUCGGUGGGGGAUGGGCUCGCGGCCUAUCAGCUUGUUGGUGGGGUGAUGGCCCACCAAGGCGGUGACGGGUAGCCGGCCUGAGGGGGUGGGCGGCCACACUGGGACUGAGACACGGCCCAGACUCCUGCGGGAGGCAGCAGUGGGGGGUAUUGCGCAAUGGGCGGAAGCCUGAUGCAGCGACGUCGCGUGAGGGAUGGAGGCCUUCGGGUUGUGAACCUCUUUCUCCGGUGGUGAAGGCCCUGUCCGUUGCGGCGGGGUUGACGGUAGCCGGGUAUGAAGCGCCGGCUAACUACGUG